AGUCAUUCAAGUUUCUGCCCUAUCAGCUUUUGGAUGGUAGUGUAUUGGACUACCAUGGCAGUCACGGGUAACGGAGAAUUAGGGUUCGAUUCCGGAGAGGGAGCCUGAGAAACGGCUACCACAUCUACGGAAGGCAGCAGGCGCGCAAAUUGCCCAAUCCUGACACGGGGAGGCAGUGACAAGAAAUAACAACUCUAGGAUUUCUUAGAAGUGUAAUGAGGAUAAUUUACAAACCUUACCGAAUGCAAUUGGAGGGCAAGUCUGGUGCCAGCAGCCGCGGUAAUUCCAGCUCCAAUAGCGUAUAUUAAAGUUGUUGCAGUUAAAAAGCUCGUAGUUGAAGUUCUGAUUGCUCAGGUUUCCAGCCUUAGGCGGAGAUACUGACAGUCAUCCGCUUGCAAACAUAUGUUCGAUCUUCACCGGUUGGCUAUGUGAGUAAGC
rnacentral:rRNA from 1 species